AAAAAACAUGCCCCUGCGAGUGUGCAAGGCAAUAUACUGAAGCAGAACCACAUCCCAUACAUACCUGAGAUUGAAACAAACACAUUUCAGAUAAAAAUAACUGGGUUUUUAAAGAAACAAAAAUUCUCACUACAUUCAGGUUGACUAAUUGUCUUAAGAUGUUCUUUUAAAAUUAAAACAAUAAUUUAAUUUAGUUAAUUCUUUGUGUGUAUGUGUGCAUGUGUGUGUGACAAACAUGCCAUAAAACAUGUAUCAGAGAUCCAAGGACAACUUUCAGGAGACAGCUUUUAUCUUUAAUUUUGUUACUAAAAGAACUUUCUUGUUGUUUCUUCUUCUGCAGAAGCUAGACGGCUCAAUCCUAGAUGAUUCUUACAUCUCUGUCUCCACAGAAGGCCAGCAUUACAAUUGCCAUCAUAGGAUCCAGGUCCAGGUCAGAAACAUACCCAUUGCCAAGCUUGGCUACCAGCAUUGGCUCCUCUGGACCAUAGAUUCAGCUGACUCCCAAGGAAAUACUUCUCAGAAGAUUUCACUUCAAUGGAACUCUGCCUUAAACAAAGACAUCUGGCACCAUUUAUGAGUGCAAAUGCAGAGGCAGGAUGACUCUCAGCAAGCAAUUUUACAUGUGCUGACAUCAACACCUGUUCAUCGCCACAACGAGACACCAACUAUUCCUAAGAGGAAAAAGAUGUAACCUAUAUACCCACAAAGUGGAUUGGGAAUAUAUGGUCAUAUGGUAUAUUAAAACCAUAUCAUAGAAACUAUUGAGAAUUUACCUAACACAUCAUGACAACAAAGUGAACAGCACCCUACCUGAACCAUGUAAAAGGGAAAAAGCUGUAAUGAAGACAUCCCUAUGAACCUGUCAACUAUCUUGUGUGUGUACACUGGAAGACAGACAGACAUAGAAGUCCUGACUGUCCUUGAUGCUUCAGCUCAGCAUGCUACUUGAUGUCCUACAGCUUGAUGUCGCCCACUAAAGUUUCUAGUUUUUGACAGGUCCUAUGUCUCUUAGGCUCUACUCUACCCUGCAACCCAAUAACUUGGCUAUGUGGGUCUACAAAAUCUUCAACCAGAUUAAUAAAGGUCUACUGUAAACACCUUCAGUGACUCUUCAUAUAUGCAUCAGCUUUCUGCCUGCCUCUUCGAGGUCUCUGACAUUUGAGGCUUCUUCAAUCCUUUUAUAGCCAUUCUAUUUCAUGAUAUAUUGCAUAACAUUCUGUUUAUAACUGUGCCAAGUAUAAUAAGAUGUGAUCCAAGAGUUAACGUUAGUAAUUAUGGGUGGUUUUCUUGUGCCGUUCGUUUGGUUUUUGGUUUUUAAGAUAAGGUCUCACUCACUAUGUAACCCUAUCUGGACUGGAACUGUCUUUGUAGACCAGGUUGGCUUCAAGCUUUCACAGAUCUCCCUCCUUCGUCCUCAAGUGCUAGAAUUAAAGGUAUGCACCACCACACAGGACAAUAUUUUAAAUCAAAGUCACAGAAGCUGUGAUUACAAUGUCCAGCUGCCAAGAAAAAUCCAAAUUACUAGGUAAAUAGCAGGAGCAAAGCUAAUACAACUCGUGAAUGAACCGUUUUGCAACAAAUUCUGGCAUUGUGGAAAGACACAAGCACAUGUCUGUUCCUGGAAUACAGCUUUAAUGGCAGACGGAAAAAGGAACUUAGGAGAGUCUGAUACCAAACCUAGAUGUGAUUUUGUCUGGGUCUCUAAUUACUAAAGACAUAAACUCAUCUAAAACAACAAACAACAACAACAAACAACAACAACUCCACCAUGAUCACUAAAAGAAUGGUCAGUAAAUCAGAUGGGGUGACUGAGAAGUGGGAGGCUCUUCACCAUCCUUCACCAAAGAGUGAAAACCAAAGGGACCUACAUCUGCCAAAGGAGACCAUGGUAAUCUCUGGGCUCACAUCCUGUGCUUGCUGCAAUACCAGGACCUUUUGCACAUCUCCAAUUUCCUGACUUACCUCUUUCGAGGGACAGUUAUCCUAAAGGGUCUCAGUAGGAAGCUCUGAUUCCUCUUGAGGAAGAAGGAAAUGCAUUUUUAAAAAAUUCCCAGACAAUUAUUAUGUUGAAAUUGGGGUUUUGGUUUCUUCGCAAUCCUUCACAUGACCACAUCUGAAAAACUAAUUUCCAUUCUGCCCUGAAGGCAUUACACACCAAUCGUGGCAUUGUCAAACCUCAUAGCCAUUUUAAACAUGCCAGGCUAACGGUUCAAGCUGAAAGUAGAAAGGAUUUUCCAUUAAGCUGCCAAUAGUAACGUAAUACAAUGAAGGCAAUUGUCACUAGAUGAUUCAUCUAGUUAGAAUCUCAACUCCCUUUCUGGGUAGAAAAUAUGAAGCUUGCUUAUUUAUAUUAGACACCAAGCAAAUACUUACUCAUAAUUCAGCUAUUCUGUAUCCAAGCAAGGCAGAGACUCCAAGCAGGGAGGUAGAAAGGCAAAUGUUCACUUUGGCUAUCAGUAAACGUCAUAGCCUUUCUAAAUUUGUCACUUUUCCACACACACACACACACA
rnacentral:lncRNA from 1 species